AUUGAGUCCCAAAUAGGACGAAAACGCGCGUCCUGGAU
rnacentral:hammerhead_ribozyme from 1 species